rnacentral:tRNA from 1 species
GGGGUUGUGGCUCAGCGGUAGAGCACUCACUAGGCACAUGCGAGGCCCUGGGUUCGAUCCUCAGCACCACA